UACGUAGGCAGCAAGCGUUUGUUCGGAGUUACUGGGCGUAAAGAGUGCGUAGGUGGUGCCCUAAGUCUGUUGUGAAAUCUCCCGGCUUAACUGGGAGGGUGCGGUGGAAACUGGGGUGCUUGAGUGUGGGAGAGGUAAGCGGAAUUCCUGGUGUAGCGGUGAAAUGCGUAGAUAUCAGGAGGAACACCGGUGGUGUAGACGGCUUACUGGACCACGACUGACACUGAGGCACGAAAGCGUGGGUAGCAAACAGG
rnacentral:rRNA from 1 species